UCAUCUCCUGAGAACGAUCAUCAUGUUAACAUCGAAGAUAGAAUCAUUAUGUGAUUGGUUAUGAUGGUUUUACCACUGGAGUGUCAACGAAGUAGUUCAGUUCUUGAAAUGUUACUGUGAGGGGCUUGAAAGGUAACACCAUCUUGCCUGUGGUUAAGCCAGAGUAUGAGUGAGAAGAGUAUGUAGAACGAGAGAAGUGGGUAGACAGAAAACAAGCUCAGAGAGUUUUUCUUGCGAGAUCAUGGCUCGUGAUGAUGUUGGUGCUGUCAUUUUGGUGAAAGAAGUUUAAGUAUAAGGCUGUUGUGUUUCAAAGAACAUAACAUUUAUGUUGGAGAAGAUGGACUUACAUUUCAGGAAAGUCAGCGCCAGAGUGAAAAUGGUGUUGAAGAGAAUAGUGAAACCCACCAAGGCACAGAGUGAUACCCAAUACAUAUAACCAUCGUAGUUCAGUCCACGGCUUUCGAGUAUGGUUCUCCCCAAGGUAAGAUUGCUACUUGGCUGUAUCUACAAAUGGGGAUGUAACAAGAACAAGCUGAUUAGCAUGCAGAGCGCAAAGAAGAAGCUUGUGUGAUUAAGAGACACUUACCUGGUUCCACCUUGGAGCAAGAAACUCAUUUACCGAUAGCCCAAUCUCACUGUAACUCAAUGGAUUUGCCCAGAAACCCCACUUGAGCCACGCCGGCAUAGAAGCUGCAGCAAACACAAAACCUUAAGAGUCGUCUUUGAAUGGUACAAUGUUUGAGGCAAAGGUUGGAGUCUUACGUGGUGGAAUGACAAAACCGGCAAAGACAAAUGUGAUUAAUAUACCAAAACUGCCAGCUGUGACUGAAGCAACUACUGUCUGGAAAAUUGCAGCUAGGCACCGGAACAUGGAUAUCGAAGUGAAGUGAACAAGAAAUAGUAGAAUGAACUGCUUGAAGAACCUGGAACAUUAAACUUCAUCAUGUUUACAGCUGUAUGAACAUUUUUCUAGGUUUAAGUUCCAAGCAGCAGAGUAGAAAGCUCACCUGGAGGCUUCAGGGGUGUACCCAAUGACAUAGUAUGUGAGUCCAGUCCAAACAAAAGAUUCAAGUAACGAGAGUGGGACCUUUAACACCGUUGCAGGGAUUGCAUAAGCCCAUGCUGGAUAGAAACACAACUGCUUCUGUUUGUAAAACACCGCUAAGCAUUGAGCCGUCAUAGCCAACUCAGGGAAUCCAUCAACAAGAAGGAUGAUGACGGCGAAGAAGAGGGCACUCAUGUAAGAGUUUCCAUGAAGGAUAUCAAUACCCAUCCGUGUUCGGAUAAACACAGUCAUAGUGAUGAAUGCUGCCAUCACAAGCUGCAUACAUAAAGCUAGAACGGUCAGGAGUAGUAUUAACAUAGAAAGAAGAUCAGAGGGAGAGAAAUGAAAACUUCAUACUGUACCUGACCCGUCUUGAAAAUAUAGACGAAGUAGUUUCUCUUCAUGAGAAGAUACUCUCUUGAUAUGCAAGCUAUGAACAUCUCCCAGUUUGGUAGAGAGUACACGCUGAAGGAAAGAGCAUCUUUAUGGCUUUUUGAUCUAUCAUAUGGCUUAGAUAGAGCGUCCUCAAUCUUCUUCCCGAUGCUGAAGUCCUUGAAUUUCUUCGACAACAUGUCUACCGAGACAAAGCUAUAAGGUACAUCCUCAUGCCGCCAGUAUUGUGCUUGGUCUUUUCUUGAUAUAACCUUCGAAGCAGAACAAGAGAGGAUCAACAACUCAUGAAACAAAAGGUCACUUUAGGGAACGAAGCUCUGGCUAUACCUCCUGGAGAUAGUCUGCAACACCUUUCCUUUCAGGGCAUUGGAAUCCACACUCCUCAAAGAAGUUCAGGACCUCACCGCGUGGGCCAUGAUACACUAUUUUCCCCUUGGCCAUCAGCAUAACGUCAUCAAAGAGGUCAAAGGACUCUGGAGCAGGUUGAAGAAGCGAAACAACAACAGUAGCGUUUGAUAUGUGAGCCAGCUGCUGAAGAGAUUUAACAAUCUGAAAAGCCGUGGAACUGUCUAAGCCGUUUGUUAUUUCAUCCAUAAACAGUGCCUUUGUUGGACCAACGAUCAUCUCGGCUGCAAAAAGUUAAAAGAGGUUCAGGUACAUGAGCAAAAGUUGACAAUAUUGCAAGUUCCAAGCUAUGAAACUAACCUGUGGUAAGACGUUUCUUUUGGCCCCCUGAUAUGCCUCUCCUCAUCACAUCUCCAAUCAAUGUUUCUGCGCAAAUGUCGAGUCCAAGAAUCUGCAAAUGCGACAGAAGACAUAAGACCCAAACAAGAAAGGGCAGAGUUUCAGCCGAGCUAUCAAAGAGACUAUAAUACCUUCAAGAUGUAAUCUGUUUGCAGACUUCUUUCAAGUCCUUCAACAGAUAUUGCCUACAGGAAACAAAAAGUUAUAAUCAACCACAGAGCUUAAAGGUUAGGCUCAAGGGAUAAGAGAGUGUUAGAGGAAUGUACUUUCAUGAAAAGAAAGAAUUAUGAUACAUUUUUCUUAAUGCACUCUGAGGAGACAUUGAGUCGUUGGUUUAUGAAUCCUACCUGUUCGGCUUCCAACACCCUGACAACGAGCUGAGAAGUCGACUGUCUCCCUAACUGUCAUCUCAGCAAUGUGCAGAUCAUAUUGGCUUAUGUACGCCGAUGUUUUCUGAGGAACAAACUCGUCAAGUCUAUGCCCAUUGUAGGAGAUUUCACCUGAACACUGUGGAAACAGAAAAGGAGGACCAAGCAACAGUGUUAACCUGCAAGAGCAAGAAGAUUUACUAAACCCACUUGGAUGUCAUAAAGCUUUGAUCAUAACUUUGAGCUUCACCAGUUCCUGGAGAAAAUCAAUACAAUAAAAAUUUCAAACUCAAGAGGCUUGAAAGCACUCACAGAAUCAAGACAGCAACAGCUUUUUGAGUGUGCAGAAGUUGUUACUCACAGACAAAACACGCUUAGCAGUGUUCCACAGCGUUGGAAGUGCCUUCCCUUCAACAAUCUCGCACUCUGCCUCCACUUUUAAACCCUCAUACCUCACUUCUAUGGUCGGUAACUCCAUUCCAACUCUGCACAACACAGUUUUAAUCUCAAAGUCCAAGAAUCCGAAAGGAUGACGUUCCAUGGCUCCAAGCUUCGUGACAUCAACGACUCUUUUUCCUUUCUCAGUCAUGGACUCAUCACUAUCAUCAAGGAGAGAGGAUCUCAUGCGUUUGACGGUUGGCAAUCUCUCGAUCUCAGCCCAUUGCAGAGCAUACUCUGCAUUAGUAUCAUUGCCCUCACCAUCAUGAUCAGGUUCAUACCUUGAAGAGCCGCUUCUGAAACUCGAGGUGUGUCUAUGGAACGAUGAUCUGAUGCUUCUUCCAAUCUCUGCAAGCUCCACUCUCAACGACUCAAUCUCGUCUGCUCCAGCCAUAUUAGCCAUGGCUGUGGCUUAAUGAGUUUGAGCUCUCUGUUAUCAGAAACUCAAAGUCUAAUUGAUAGGUAAGCCUAACUGUUUUGACUUGCAGACACAUAUAUAGUUAUACAUUUAUACAUUGUUCAAACUGACACGCUUCAAUGAUGUAAGUGAAUACAUCAGCUUUUCUUCUUUGUUCUUGAAAUGAUCUGCGACUUCCAAGGUCAAAAGAUAUAUUAAUAAUAAAAACACAUGCUGUGAUACUCAAAAAGUUAUUGUGAACAGCUGUGAUCAUGGAGGGUUGAGUAUCAAUUUUAUAUUCCUUGAUAAUUCGAGAAUGGUUCUGGGCCAUGUCUUCAUGCGUUUCUCGUUCUUCAAGUAUAUGUUAUGAUUAAUGUCUAUAUAAUUUAGAUUCCCCUCUAAGAAAGUCUUAUGUAUAUAUACACAUUUACUUGUUAUUUUAUGUAGAAUGUAAUACGUAUGUUUUUAUUGUGACAUUUCCAACCAA